rnacentral:rRNA from 1 species
ACUGUUUCAGUAACACGUGGAUAACCUGCCCUAAGGUGGAGGAUAACCCCGGGAAACUGGGGAUAAUACUCCAUAGGUUCCGGAGGCUGGAAUGCCCUGGAGCCUAAAGCUCCGGCGCCUUAGGAUGGAUCUGCGGCCGAUUAGGUUGUUGUUGGGGUAACGGCCCAACAAGCCUGUAAUCGGUACGGGUUGUGGGAGCAAGAGCCCGGAGAUGGACUCUGAGACACGAGUCCAGGCCCUACGGGGCGCAGCAGGCGCGAAAACUUUACAAUGCAGGAAACUGUGAUAAGGGAACCCCGAGUGCCCGUAUACGCGGGCUGUCCAGGUGUUUAAAACGCAUCUGAAGAAAGGGCCGGGCAAGACCGGUGCCAGCCGCCGCGGUAAUACCGGCGGCUCGAGUGGUGGCCACUUUUAUUGGGCUUAAAGCGUCCGUAGCUUGGUUGUUAAGUCUCUUGGGAAAUCUCACAGCUUAACCGUGAGGCGUCUAAGGGAUACUGGCAACCUAGGGACCGGAAGAGGUGAGAGGUACUCCAGGGGUAGGAGUGAAAUCCUGUAAUCCUUGGGGGACCACCUGUGGCGAAGGCGUCUCACCAGGACGGCUCCGACAGUGAGGGACGAAAGCUGGGGGAGCAAACCGGAUUAGAUACCCGGGUAGUCCCAGCCGUAAACGAUGCGCGUUAGGUGUAUCGGUGACCACGAGUCACCGAGGUGCCGAAGGGAAACCGUGAAACGCGCCGCCUGGGAAGUACGGUCGCAAGGCUGAAACUUAAAGGAAUUGGCGGGGGAGCAC